rnacentral:rRNA from 1 species
GUCGAGCGAAUGAUGAGGAGCUUGCUCCUCUGAUUUAGCGGCGGACGGGUGAGUAACACGUGGGUAAUCUGCCUGUAAGACGGGGAUAACUCCGGGAAACCGGGGCUAAUACCGGAUAACAAGAGAAGAAGCAUUUCUUCUUUUUGAAAGUCGGUUUUGCUGACACUUACAGAUGAGCCCGCGGCGCAUUAUCUAGUUGGUGAGGUAACGGCUCACCAAGGCGACAAUGCGUAGCCGACCUGAGAGGGUGAUCGGCCACACUGGGACUGAGACACGGCCCAGACUCCUACGGGAGGCAGCAGUAGGGAAUCUUCGGCAAUGGGCGAAAGCCUGACCGAGCAACGCCGCGUGAGCGAUGAAGGCCUUCGGGUCGUAAAGCUCUGUUGUUAGAGAAGAACAAGUACGAGAGUAACUGCUCGUACCUUGACGGUACCUAACCAGAAAGCCACGGCUAACUACGUGCCAGCAGCCGCGGUAAUACGUAGGUGGCAAGCGUUAUCCGGAAUUAUUGGGCGUAAAGCGCGCGCAGGCGGUCUCUUAAGUCUGAUGUGAAAGCCCACGGCUCAACCGUGGAGGGUCAUUGGAAACUGGGAGACU